rnacentral:rRNA from 1 species
GACGAACGCUGGCGGCGUGCUUAACACAUGCAAGUCGAACGGAAAGGCCCUGCUUUUGUGGGGUGCUCGAGUGGCGAACGGGUGAGUAACACGUGAGUAACCUGCCCUUGACUUUGGGAUAACUUCAGGAAACUGGGGCUAAUACCGGAUAGGAGCUCCUGCUGCAUGGUGGGGGUUGGAAAGUUUCGGCGGUUGGGGAUGGACUCGCGGCUUAUCAGCUUGUUGGUGGGGUAGUGGCUUACCAAGGCUUUGACGGGUAGCCGGCCUGGGAGGGUGACCGGCCACAUUGGGACUGGGAUACGGCCCAGACUCCUACGGGAGGCAGGAGUGGGGAAUAUUGCACAAUGGGCGGAAGCCGGAUGCAGCAACGCCGCGUGCGGGAUGACGGCCUUCGGGUUGUAAACCGCUUUCGCCUGUGACGAAGCGUGAGUGACGGUAAUGGGUAAAGAAGCACCGGCUAACUACGU